rnacentral:rRNA from 1 species
CCUACGGGUGGCAGCAGUGAGGAAUAUUGGUCAAUGGACGCAAGUCUGAACCAGCCAUGCCGCGUGCAGGAAGACUGCUCUAUGAGUUGUAAACUGCUUUUGUACGAGGGUAAACUCAGAUACGCGUAUCUGUCUGAAAGUAUCUUACGAAUAAGGAUCGGCUAACUCCGUGCCAGCAGCCGCGGUAAUACGGAGGAUUCAAGCGUUAUCCGGAUUUAUUGGGUUUAAAGGGUGCGUAGGCGGUCGGAUAAGUUAGAGGUGAAAUUCCGCGGCUCAACCGCGGAAUUGCCUCUGAUACUGUUCGGCUAGAGAAUAGUUGCGGUAGGCGGAAUGUAUGGUGUAGCGGUGAAAUGCUUAGAGAUCACACAGAACACCGAUUGCGAAGGCAGCUUACCAAGCUACUUCUGACGUUGAGGCACGAAAGCGUGGGGAGCAAACAGGAUUAGAUACCCUUGUAGUC